UGGCGGACGGGGGAGUAAUGUCUGGGAAACUGCCUGAUGGAGGGGGAUAACUACUGGAAACGGUAGCUAAUACCGCAUAACGUCGCAAGACCAAAGAGGGGGACCUUCGGGCCUCUUGCCAUCGGAUGUGCCCAGAUGGGAUUAGCUAGUAGUGGGGUAACGGCUCACCUAGGCGACGAUCCCUAGCUGGUCUGAGAGGAUGACCAGCCACACUGGAACUGAGACACGGUCCAG
rnacentral:rRNA from 1 species